AUGCGCUCGGGCUAUCACCAGAUCCGCUUGGCAGAAGGGGAAGAGUACAAGACCGCGUUCCAGACACAUUUAGGCCAUUACGAGUUCUUGGUGGUUUCCUUCGGGCUAGCGGGUGGGCCGACCACGUUCAACGGAGCUCUGACAACCACUCUGAAACUAGUUGAUCGCAAGUGUGUGCUCCUCUUCUUCGACGACAUCCUCGUGUUCAGUAAGACUCUGAGAGACCACAUCAACCAUCUACGACAAGUGUUGCAGCUUUUGUGCCGGGAUCAAUGGCACGUGAAGAUGUCCAAGUGCGAGUUCGGUCAGCACAGCCUAUCAUACCUGGGACACGUCAUCAGCGAUCGGGGAGUGUCCACGGAACCAACCAAGAUACAAGCAGUAUCCAAUUGGACGACCCCAACUGACGUCAAGGCAGUCCGCAGCUUCUUGGGGCUAGCGGGGUACUAUCGAAGAUUCGUCAAGAACUUUGGAGUCAUAGCCCGGCCGCUGUUCAACCUUCUAAAAAAAGGAGCACUGUUUGUCUGGACGCCAGCCACAGAUACAACAUUCCAGCUCCUCAAGCAGCACCUGAUCGAAGCACCAGUGCUAGCACUCCCCAACUUCGCCAAGCCAUUCAUGAUCGAGACCGACGCAUGCGACAAAGGGAUCGGAGCGAUACUGCAGCAGGAUGGCCACCCUAUCGCUUAUAUGAGCAAAGCCUUGAGUCCUCGAUACCAAGGACUCUCAACCUACGAGAAGGAAUACUUGGCAGUUAUUGUGGCCGUAGACCAGUGGCGCCCCUACCUCCAGCAUGCCGAAUUCACCAUCCUGACUGACCAGCGCAGUUUGACCCACCUGACAGAGCAGAGGCUAUCAACGCCAUGGCAACAAAGAGCCUUUACGAAACUGCUGGGACUCUGUUACGUCAUCAAGUACAAGAAAGGAGCUGAAAACACGGCAGCGGAUGCAUUCUCCAAAGCGAAGGCAACUGAAGUCCUGCACACCAUUAGUGUGUGCCAACCAGCGUGGCUCGAAGACAUUGUCAGCAGCUACAACACCAACCCAAAGGCGCAAAAACUCUUGGAGCAGUUGGCUGUCCGAGAGGAUCCAAAAGGGCGAUUUUAG
rnacentral:rRNA from 1 species